rnacentral:lncRNA from 1 species
GUAGAAGGCUACCUUUUAUACUAGUAGAAAAUAUGGGAAUUUCUAGGGUUUUCAAACGUUUACAGUUACUUACAAACAUGUUCAUUGGUACAAACUUUCCUUCAAACAUUUGUAGGUCUUUCUUUACAGUUUUACAAAUCAAAUUCACAUAAAUACUUAUGAAUUCACCAGCAUUAUUGCUGAUACUCGCUUUCAAAAUAACUUGUAUUCUCAGGUCACAAAUAAACAGGUACGACUGCCAGGUUUUGUGAAGACGGAGCGGUCAAGACUCAUCUUUUAUUUUGAAUAUUCAUUUUGUAGAAUUAUACUAUGAAAGAACUCACAUGUAACUAAAACUAUACUAUUAAUGCAAUGGAUGAUGUUGUUGCUUGUUUACUACCUUGCAUUGUUGUGAUACAUUACAUGACGUUCUUGGUUUUGGGGGUGUGACACACAUACACCAUUUGCUUGUUUACUACCUUGCAUUGUUGUGAUACAUUACAUGACGUUCUUGGUUUUGGGGGUGUGACACACAUACACCAUUAAAUCUAAGGGUCAUAAGGUUUCUUUCCGAUUCAUGAAAAUGAUGGUGAGGAAACACUUCCACCAAGUAGAUUUGAAGUAGAUAGCAAUUGUGAUAUUUGCAUUCUCAAAGUCGUUAGUGGAGCUGUGUGGUUAGCCGACACACUAACAUGGACUUGUGAGAAGUGGCAAAGGUCUAAACAAUUGAGACUAUGAUUACGGCAUCCCUUUUCAUAGUUCUAAAAUUGUUUAGACACACCUGUGAGCUAUCUAAAAGAGGUGUAUGAUUUUGAUAAAGUUUUAUCAAAACAAUCUAGUAUCAGAAAUCUGAACUUUGGUAAGAAAGUCAGCUAAUUUCUGAGUACAUGUCAAAGCUAGUGGGAGCAUAAGUGUUAUGCUAAUAAUCAUCAUGUUAGUGGGAGCAUGAUAAUUAUGAUAAGUAUUGCAAGUUAGCAAUGUUAAUUAUAGAAAACAAAAGGUUUCAAUUGGGAAAAAGUUGUUUUGCUAUAAUUAAGGGAGAGGAAAUUAUACUUCAUCUCAAAUCUAUAAGCUUAGAUCGUGAGGUUUUAAUCAUUUAGUCAAGGAUAUAUAUAUGAAUUUCAUGUUGGAAUGGCUCAACAUAAGGAAAUUCUGUAUAUGGGUCCAUUAUUUGCGUUCUAAAAUUCGAUUAUGAUUACGGCAUCCCUUUUCAUAAUCUGAAUUAUGAGAAC